CGCUGGCGGCGUGCUUAACACAUGCAAGUCGAACGAACCUUCGGGUUAGUGGCGGACGGGUGAGUAACGCGUGGGAAUCUGCCCUCAGGAGGGGGAUAACGGCUGGAAACGGCCGCUAAUACCCCAUAUGCCGAGAGGUGAAAAGAAAUUCGCCUGAGGAUGAGCCCGCGUCUGAUUAGCUAGUUGGUGGGGUAAGAGCUCACCAAGGCGACGAUCAGUAGCUGGUCUGAGAGGAUGAUCAGCCACACUGGGACUGAGACACGGCCCAGACUCCUACGGGAGGCAGCAGUGGGGAAUUUUCCGCAAUGGGCAAAAGCCUGACGGAGCAACGCCGCGUGAGGGAUGAAGGCCUCUGGGCUGUAAACCUCUUUUCUCAAGGAAGAAGACAUGACGGUACUUGAGGAAUAAGCCACGGCUAAUUCCGUGCCAGCAGCCGCGGUAAUACGGGAGUGGCAAGCGUUAUCCGGAAUUAUUGGGCGUAAAGCGUCCGCAGGCGGCCCUGUAAGUCUGUCGUUAAAGCGUGGAGCUUAACUCCAUUUAAGCGAUGGAAACUACAGGGCUUGAGUGUGGUAGGGGCAGAGGGAAUUCCCGGUGUAGCGGUGAAAUGCAUAGAUAUCGGGAAGAACACCAGUGGCGAAGGCGCUCUGCUGGGCCAUAACUGACGCUCAUGGACGAAAGCCAGGGGAGCGAAAGGGAUUAGAUACCCCUGUAGUCCUGCCGUAAACGAUGAACACUAGGUGUCGGGGGAAUCGACCCCCUCGGUGUCGUAGCCAACGCGUUAAGUGUUCCGCCUGGGGAGUACGCACGCAAGUGUGAAACUCAAAGGAAUUGACGGGGGCCCGCACAUCGGUGGAGUAUGUGGUUUAAUUCGAUGCAACGCGAAGAACCUUACCAGGGUUUGACAUCCUGCGAAUCCCUUGGAAACGAGGGAGUGCCUUCGGGAGCGCAGAGACAGGUGGUGCAUGGCUGUCGUCAGCUCGUGUCGUGAGAUGUUGGGUUAAGUCCCGCAACGAGCGCAACCCACGUCUUUAGUUGCCAGCAUUCAGUUGGGCACUCUAGAGAGACCGCCGGUGAUAAACCGGAGGAAGGUGUGGAUGACGUCAAGUCAUCAUGCCCCUUACAUCCUGGGCUACACACGUACUACAAUGCUACGGACAAAGGGCAGCAAGCUCGCGAGAGUUAGCAAAUCCCAUAAACCGUGGCUCAGUUCAGAUCGUAGGCUGCAACUCGCCUACGUGAAGGAGGAAUCGCUAGUAAUCGCAGGUCAGCAUACUGCGGUGAAUACGUUCCCGGGCCUUG
rnacentral:rRNA from 1 species